rnacentral:rRNA from 1 species
GAUGAACGCUGGCGGCGUGCCUAAUACAUGCAAGUCGAGCGAACGGACGAGAAGCUUGCUUUUCUGAUGUUAGCGGCGGACGGGUGAGUAACACGUGGAUAACCUACCUAUAAGACUGGGAUAACUUCGGGAAACCGGAGCUAAUACCGGAUAAUAUUUUGAACCGCAUGGUUCAAAAGUGAAAGACGGUCUUGCUGUCACUUAUAGAUGGAUCCGCGCUGCAUUAGCUAGUUGGUAAGGUAACGGCUUACCAAGGCAACGAUGCAUAGCCGACCUGAGAGGUUGUUCGGCCACACUGGAACUGGGACACGGUCCAGACUCCUACAGAGGGCAGCAGUAGGGAAUCUUGCGCAAUGGGCGAAAGCUUGACGGAGCAACGCCGCGUGAGUGAUGAAGGUCUUCGGAUCGUAAAACUCUGUUAUUAGGGAAGAACAUAUGUGUAAGUAACUGUGCACAUCAUGACGGUACCUAAUCAGAAAGCCACGGCUAACUACGUG